CCUACGGGAGGCAGCAGUGAGGAAUAUUGGUCAAUGGACGAGAGUCUGAACCAGCCAAGUAGCGUGAAGGAUGACUGCCCUAUGGGUUGUAAACUUCUUUUAUAUGGGAGUAAAAUGUUCCACGUGUGGGAUUUUGUAUGUACCAUAUGAAUAAGGAUCGGCUAACUCCGUGCCAGCAGCGGCGGUAAUACGGAGGAUCCGAGCGUUAUCCGGAUUUAUUGGGUUUAAAGGGAGCGUAGGUGGAUUGUUAAGUCAGUUGUGAAAGUUUGCGGCUCAACCGUAAAAUUGCAGUUGAAACUGGCAGUCUUGAGUACAGUAGAGGUGAGCGGAAUUCGUGGUGUAGCGGUGAAAUGCUUAGAUAUCACGAAGAACUCCGAUUGCGAAGGCAGUUCACUGGACUGCAACUGACACUGAGGCUCGAAAGUGUGGGUAUCAAACAGGAUUAGAUACCCUUGUAGUC
rnacentral:rRNA from 1 species